AAGUCGUAACAAGGUUUCCGUAGGUGAACCUGCGGAAGGAUCAUUAACACGUAUCCAACGUUAAACCCCCCGUGAACCUUCAUUGUGCUCCCCCAUUCCGUUAGGACGCGGUAAUCCCUGGUAAAUCAUCGCCGAACAGUUUUGAUUCAGGGACCUCUGCAUGGAGUGGGCAGCAGCGCGAGGCAAGUGGCCUGGCAUUCGAAAGAAUGGCGCAGUAACGAUCGCUAGAGGCCGACACGGCCGGCGACCGGGUCACUGGGCUCACGCCCCCCUAUCACCUUUGCAUGAAAACGGGCCUGCGCUUAAUUGUGCGGCCACCAAACUCGAACAACUGUUAACAAUGGAUAUCUUGGUUCUC
rnacentral:misc_RNA from 1 species